UUGAUCCUGGCUCAGGACGAACGCUGGCGGCGUGCUUAACACAUGCAAGUCGAACGAUGAGGGCCCAGCUUGCUGGGUCUGAUUAGUGGCGAACGGGUGAGUAACACGUGAGCAACCUGCCCCUGACUUCGGGAUAACCUCGGGAAAUCGUGGCUAAUACCGGAUAUGACGCCCUGCCGCAUGGUGGGGUGUGGAAAGACUGUGUCGGUUGGGGAUGGGCUCGCGGCCUAUCAGCUUGUUGGUGGGGUGAUGGCCUACCAAGGCGACGACGGGUAGCCGGCCUGAGAGGGUGACCGGCCACACUGGGACUGAGACACGGCCCAGACUCCUACGGGAGGCAGCAGUGGGGAAUAUUGCACAAUGGGCGCAAGCCUGAUGCAGCGACGCCGCGUGAGGGAUGACGGCCUUCGGGUUGUAAACCUCUUUCAGCAGGGGAGAAGGCCUUCGGGUUGACGGUACCUGCAGAAGAAGC
rnacentral:rRNA from 1 species